AAAGUUAAAAAUAUUUGGUGCGUUGCUGACAGGAAGUGCAUCUCAUCACCAUUGGGGGGGGGGUGGCUGGGCGGUGCCCCUCAGAGUGAAUUUGGUGGCUCUAUUUGG
rnacentral:snoRNA from 1 species